UACGGAGGGUGCAAACGUUGCUCGGAAUCAUUGGGCGUAAAGCGCACGUAGGCGGCCUGAUCAGUCGGGUGUGAAAGCCCUGGGCUCAACCCAGGAAGUGCACUCGAAACUGUCAGGCUUGAAUAUGGAAGAGGGUCGCGGAAUUCCCGGUGUAGAGGUGAAAUUCGUAGAUAUUCGGAAGAACACCAGUGGCGAAGGCGACACACUGGCCCGUUACUGACGCUGAGGCGCGAAAGCGUGGGGAGCAAACAGG
rnacentral:rRNA from 1 species